rnacentral:misc_RNA from 1 species
CCGAGCUUCACAGCUUGUUCUUGUCGUGGACUGGUUUUGCCUUUGCCUUCGGGCAGGAUCACACUCUUGUCUUGUAGUCUGAGUCUUUGUCAACGAAAA